rnacentral:lncRNA from 1 species
UUUUUUUUUUUGUUCAAGGCAAGCUGCAUUUAAAAGAACUCCAAGCUGCCUUAAUUCUUACUUGCAAGAACUCAAGGAGGUCGACUAAACUAAUUCAACAUAACUACUUAACCACCAUGAAAACAGACAUGAAAUCUGUCCACAGUACAUCCAAAUCAAGUUAUAUUGGGCCAAGAACAGAGGAACAAUCCAUGUCAUAACAAGAAUCAACCACUGCCAUAAUCUUUUUAGGCAUCCAAGGAGCUGCAGGCUUAUUUGCUGUUAGGGACAUGAUUCAGAUGAAUCAUGAAUUCCACACUAGCAUAUUACAAGUUCUAGCCUAGUCAAAGGUAUAAGCAUAAUUGCGCCAUAGAUAGAUUUCUACUCCCUCCGUACCAUAAUAUAAGAGCGUUUUUAACACUAGUUAUAUUAUGGGACGGAGGGAGUACUAAUCAGCUAAACAGACACAUCUAUGUUAAAUCGCAUAGUUACUCAUCUUCCAUAUUCAAUAACCAACAUGUCACAGAAUAGAAUAGCCCCUUCACAGAAAGCCCAUGACAUGUUGCAGAUCAGAAUGUAGCUCAACAAGAAUAUGCGCAAAAGAGGGUUAAAAUUUCUCCACAUACAACACAGCAAUGAAGUCUAUGCUCACAAGCUUUAUUCCAUUCAGGAUUCAGCUCAUAUACAAAACAAAAUGAAAUUAAAAAAACAAACAAAAAAGGGCCUCGAUGCGAGGCCUGGGUCUUCAGCCGCAGCACAGAUCGAGCGGAACCUUGGAUUCGAUCAGAUCCAGAACGGCCAAGAGAGGGGGCGCAAACCAGGCCGGAUCAG